GGAAAGGUGGCCGAGUGGUUGAAGGCAGCUGCCUGCUAAGCAGUUGGCCCGGGUUAACCGGACCCGCGGGUUCGAACCCCGCCCUUUCCGCCA
rnacentral:tRNA from 1 species